UAGCUGAGGAGCCUGGAGGACAUUCAGUCCUUGUGAGAAUCCCAACCAUGGCCUGGACAAUGGUGCUUCUUGGAAUCUUCACUUUCAGCUCAGGAGUAGUUUCUCAGACUGUGGUCACCCAGGAGCCAUCAAUGUCUGUGUCUUCAGGAGAGACAGUCAGUCUCAACUGUGGCCUUAGCUCUGGGUCAGUUUCUACUGGUAACUACCCUAGCUGGUACCAGCAGAACCCAGGCCAGGCUCCACAUCUAUUUAUCUACCAAACGGACAAGCGUCCCUCUGGGGUCCCUGAUCGCUUCUCUGGAUCCAUCGCUGGGAACAAAGCUGCCCUUACCAUCACGGGGGCUCAGCCAGAGGAUGAGGCUGAUUAUUACUGCUUACUGUACAUGGGAAGUGGUAAUUUGCACAGUGAGCUGAACCCAUGGGGAAGUGCAACCAAAACUUUUUCGCAUGCUCAAAAUGGCCUCACUCUUACUCUUACAGUCGGGAGAAAAGAAGAAAGGGUGAAAAGUGUCAACAGCAUGAUAGCUAAAAUGAGGCUACACGAUCCCUUGUCCUAA